rnacentral:ncRNA from 1 species
CGGCGGGGACGACCCCGCCGCCCAAAGGGGAGAACACGCGCGGGGACGGCCCUG